AUCUGCAGCUAAAAGAGAAUCAUAGAUUUCAUUGACUCUUGAGAUGAUAAACUAAGCAUGGUCCGGCUCGGUUAGUACUUGAAUGGAAGACCGCCUGGUAAUCCCAGAUGCUGUAGGCU
rnacentral:rRNA from 14 species